GGCAGUAGCCAGCGUGAACCAGCUCCUCCUCGUGCUCUCCGCCUGUCUCUCUCCAAGAUUUCCUCUUUUCUUCCUUCGUUCCCCUCCCCUCUCCCUCUGGCCUCCCUUGUAGGUAGUCAGUAGUUAGCAAGAGGCGCUCGCCGGCUGGAGGCGUCUGCAGCCUAGAUUCUCUCCCCGCUGCUCCAUGCUUGGCCUGGUUCUUGGUGUCCUCUUUGGAGCUGCUCCAUGGUUUGCUGGUGGAUUUGUUUCUCUUCCUUUUUCUUAACAAAUCCCUCUGUCUUUUCUGUGCUUGAUCUAUACUCACCGGAGCUCACCGAGCAACCAUGGCGCCACCUCGAACUCUGGAUCCGGCGCCCCCAAACCUCAACGGCCUUCCCCGCGCGCCUCCCUGACCCUCCUGCAUCUGGAUCCGUCCGGUGGCAGCCGGAUUGUCGCCGUUCUAUGGAGUCAAACCCGCGCCGCCGCGUCCCUCACUCGUCUCGCGCAAGAGGACGACGAGUAGACCCCUUGUCACGGGAUCUCGCGGGCUCCUCAGCCUCGGCUGGAUCCAACACGCGCUGAUUAUGCCGCUGCCCCGCCUCCCGCGCGUCCUCCUCCUCCCAGCCGUUGCCCACGGCGGCGAGGAGCGUGUUGAGCAGCCCGAUCGUGGUCGGUGGCGUGCGCUCCAGCCGGCCGACGCGGGCCUGGAGCGCUGCGGCCUGGGCCUCGGUGUCGGCGAACCGCGUGCGGCGAAGAGGAGGCAGGCCGUGGUGUGGGGAGGAGGGCGCGGCGGAGUGGUGGUAGGCCGGCGAAGAGGAGGCAGGCCGUGGUGUGGGGAGGAGGGCGCGGCGGAGAGGAGGUAGGCCGGCGCGUGGGGAUGGCGUGGCGGAGGAUGCGGACCGACGGCGGGGAGGCGGAGGAUCCAGAUCGGGAGGCGCGGUCGCUCGACUCUGGGUUGGUUUUUGUUGGCAAACCGCACACGCGUCCACGGGUGGAUUAGAAAUAUGAAACGUUUUUUUUUUCACUUAUUUACUGGACUGCGGGUUAAUUACUUAAUAUCAUAGGGGUUUUUCUGUAAAAAUGCCGACGACGUACGACAGAGACCCAAUUUGCUUUAUUAUUACUAGCAAAAAUGCCCGUGCGUUGCAACGGGUAAUGAAACUAUCAUCAUAGAAUCUCA